rnacentral:rRNA from 1 species
UCAAGUUGUCAAGGGCGCACGGUGGAUGCCUGGGCAUCAGGAGCCGAUGAAGGACGUGGGAGGCCGCGAUAGUCCUCGGGGAGCUGUCAACCGAGCGUUGAUCCGAGGGUGUCCGAAUGGGGUAACCCGGCACCCGUCAUGGGGUGUCACCGCCGUCUGAAUGUAUAGGACGGUGGGAGGGAACGCGGGGAAGUGAAACAUCUCAGUACCCGCAGGAGAAGAAAACAAGAGUGAUUCCGUGAGUAGUGGCGAGCGAAAGCGGAAGAGGCUAAACCCCGCCAGUGUGAGAGCCGGCAGGUGUUGCUGGUGGGGUGUUGUGGGGCGUCACGGACCGUUACUGCCGUGAUGGUGCGGGUGUUCGUGGUGUUAGUCGAAGGCGUUGGGACGCGUCGGCGUAGAGGGUGAGACCCCCGUAGACGAAAACACCACGGGCAGCUGUUGUGGCGUGCCCGAGUAGCAGCGAGCCCGUGAAAUUCGCUGUGAAUCUGCCGGGACCACCCGGUAAGCCUAAAUACUCCCUGAUGACCGAUAGCGGACGAGUACCGUGAGGGAAAGGUGAAAAGUACCCCGGGAGGGGAGUGAAACAGUACCUGAAACCGUGUGCCUACAAGCCGUCAGAGCAAGCUUGGUUCUUGUGAUGGCGUGCCUUUUGAAGAAUGAGCCUGCGAGUUAGCGGUACGUGGCGAGGUUAACCCGUCGAGGGGUAGCCGUAGCGAAAGCGAGUCCGAACAGGGCGAUCUAGUCGCGUGCUCUAGACCCGAAGCGGGGUGAUCUACCCAUGGCCAGGGUGAAGCGCCGGUAAGACGGCGUGGAGGCCCGAACCCACCAGGGUUGAAAACCUGGGGGAUGAGCUGUGGGUAGGGGUGAAAGGCCAAUCAAACUCCGUGAUAGCUGGUUCUCCCCGAAAUGCAUUUAGGUGCAGCGUCGCGUGGUACUCACCGGAGGUAGAGCACUGGUUGGCCUAGGGGGCCUACAAGCUUACUGAAGUCAGCCAAACUCCGAAUGCCGGUGAGCGUGAGCGCGGCAGUGAGACGGCGGGCGAUAAGGUUCGUCGUCGAGAGGGAAACAGCCCAGAUCGCCGGCUAAGGCCCCUAAGCGUGCGCUAAGUGGGAAAGGAUGUGGGAUCGCCCAGACAACCAGGAGGUUGGCUUAGAAGCAGCCACCCUUGAAAGAGUGCGUAAUAGCUCACUGGUCAAGUGGUCCUGCGCCGACAAUGUAGCGGGGCUCAAGCGCACCGCCGAAGCCGCGGCAACACCACGUGAACACUCCGGCGCCCUCGAGGCGUCCGGUGGUGGUGGUGUUGGGUAGGGGAGCGUCAUGCGGGCGGUGAAGCGGCGGAGUGAUCCAGCCGUGGAGCCCGUGUGAGUGAGAAUGCAGGCAUGAGUAGCGAUAGCAGAGUGAGAAACUCUGCCGCCGGAUGACCAAGGGUUCCUGGGCCAGGUUUUUCCGCCCAGGGUGAGCCGGGACCUAAGGCGAGGCCGACAGGCGUAGUCGAUGGACAACGGGUUGAUAUUCCCGUGCUCGUGUAGGCGCGUCCCUGGCGAAUCCAGGUGUGCUAACCGCCCGAACCUCGGGUGUCUCCUUCGGGAGCAUCUCGGGGGGAGCGCGGGACCCCGCCUGGUAGUAGCCAAGCGAUGGGGUGACGCAGGAGGGCAGCUCCGCCAGCUAGUGGUAGUGCUGGUGCAAGCGUGUAGGCCGGUGUACAGGCAAAUCCGUACACCAUGCNNNNNNNNNNNNNNNNNNNNNNNNNNNNNNNNNNNNNNNNNNNNNNNNNNNNNNNNNNNNNNNNNNNNNNNNNNNNNNNNNNNNNNNNNNNNNNNUGAGACGUGACGCAUAGCCGGUUGAGGCGAAGCAGAGUGAUCCCAUGCUGCCGAGAAAAGCCUCUAGCGAGUUCCUACGCGACCCGUACCCCAAACCAACACAGGUGGUCAGGUAGAGAAUACCGAGGCGUUCGAGCGAACUGUGGUCAAGGAAUUCGGCAAAAUGCCCCCGUAACUUCGGGAGAAGGGGGGCCCUGUCCCGUGAAACCCCUUGCGGGUUAGCGGGGUGGGGCCGCAGAGACCAGGGGGAAGCGACUGUUUACUAAAAACACAGGUCCGUGCGAAGUCGCAAGACGAUGUAUACGGACUGACGCCUGCCCGGUGCUGGAACGUUAAGGGGACCGGUUAACCGUAAGGUGAAGCUGAGAACUUAAGCGCCAGUAAACGGCGGUGGUAACUAUAACCAUCCUAAGGUAGCGAAAUUCCUUGUCGGGUAAGUUCCGACCUGCACGAAUGGCGUAACGACUUCCCCGCUGUCUCGACCACAGACUCGGCGAAAUUGCACUACGAGUAAAGAUGCUCGUUACGCGCGGCAGGACGGAAAGACCCCGGGACCUUCACUACAGCUUGGUAUUGGUGCUCGGUUCGGCUUGUGUAGGAUAGGUGGGAGACUGGGAAAUCCUCACGCCAGUGAGGGUGGAGUCAUCGUUGAAAUACCACUCUGGUCGAAUUGGGCAUCUAACCUCGGGCCAUGAUCUGGUCCAGGGACAGUGCCUGGUGGGUAGUUUAACUGGGGCGGUUGCCUCCCAAAAAGUAACGGAGGCGCCCAAAGGUUCCCUCAGCCUGGUCGGCAACCAGGUGUCGAGUGCAAGUGCACAAGGGAGCUUGACUGUGAGACCGACGGGUCGAGCAGGGACGAAAGUCGGGACUAGUGAUCCGGCACCACCAUGUGGAUGGGGUGUCGCUCAACGGAUAAAAGGUACCCCGGGGAUAACAGGCUGAUCUUGCCCAAGAGUCCAUAUCGACGGCAUGGUUUGGCACCUCGAUGUCGGCUCGUCGCAUCCUGGGGCUGGAGUAGGUCCCAAGGGUUGGGCUGUUCGCCCAUUAAAGCGGUACGCGAGCUGGGUUUAGAACGUCGUGAGACAGUUCGGUCCCUAUCCGCCGCGCGCGCAGGAGACUUGAGGAAGGCUGUCCCUAGUACGAGAGGACCGGGACGGACGAACCUCUGGUGUGCCAGUUGUCCCGCCAGGGGCACGGCUGGUUGGCUACGUUCGGAAAGGAUAACCGCUGAAGGCAUCUAAGCGGGAAGCCCGUUCCAAGAUGAGGUCUCCCACCCCCUCGAGGGUUAAGGCCCCCACCAGACCAGUGGGUUGAUAGGCCAGACAUGUAAUCGCCGCAAGGCGUUCAGUGGACUGGUACUAAUAGGCCGAGGACUUGCC